rnacentral:rRNA from 1 species
UACGUAGGUGACAAGCGUUGUCCGGAUUUACUGGGCGUAAAGAGCGCGCAGGCGGUCGUUCAAGUCGAGUGUGAAAGCCCCCGGCUCAACUGGGGAGGGUCACUCGAUACUGAUCGACUCGAAGGCAGGAGAGGGAAGUGGAAUUCCCGGUGUAGUGGUGAAAUGCGUAGAUAUCCGGAGGAACACCGGUGGCGAAGGCGGCUUCCUGGACCGACACUGACGCUGAGGCGCGAAAGCUAGGGGAGCAAACGGG